GUGUGUGUGUGUGUGUGUGUGUGUGUGUCUGUGUGUGUCUGUGUGUGUAAGUGCAUGCGCGUGUGCGAGUAUGCACCAUUCCUGGGGCUUGAAUUCAGGGC